rnacentral:rRNA from 1 species
UACGUAGGGUGCAAGCGUUGUCCGGAAUUAUUGGGCGUAAAGAGCUCGUAGGCGGCUUGUCACGUCGACUGUGAAAACCCGGGGCUCAACCCGGGCCUGCAUCCGAUACUCCGGGCUGGAGGCAGGUAGGGGAGAUCGGAAUUCCGUGGUGUAGCGGUGAAAUGCGCAGAUAUCAGGAGGAACACCGGUGGCGAAGGCGGAUCUCUGGCCGUGUCCUGACGCUGAGGCGCGAAAGCUAGGGGAGCGAACAGG